AAUGCAGGAGGUCUAUUUAUUUGUCAAGUCAACGUUUAGUAAUAAGGGAGAACAAAGUUUACCCUGCUAUCAGAAAAUAAGAAAUCAGAAUCCAGUCAUAUGGGAUGGGAGAAGCUCGCAAGCUAUUACAACUGAACUCAGGAAGCAGAUAAUCAGCUAGGAAAGAGGUACCCUUAAAUGCCAGGCUGUAUCUGAGAGUGUAUCUCCCUUGAUCAGAGCCCAGAGUACAAGCUAAACAAUUCCUUCAUAAAUCAGCACACAUCAGCUUCUAAAAUCAGCAAUAUGUCUCCAAACAUCUUGAACUGACAUUAAGAAAUGCUGCACCAUUGAGAAAAUGGUUUCCAGUUAUUUGAACUUAAAGAAUUAACUUGUUGAAGCACAUCUUUAAUCAUUGAUAAGUUACUGAAUUCAAAGAGAAGUAAUAAUGAAUGGUAAACCAAUUAACUAGGAAUUAUAUUUCAAUUUUUUUUUGCUUUGGCAAACUUGAUGAUUAGUUGAUAUUUUUUCAAUAUUUAGGAACAAGGAACACAUAUAAAUUUCACAUUUGUGUUUUUAGCAUUUUGACCAGCAAUUCAUUUUUCAAUUUCAUGUGUGAAGCUAAACUGAUGAUCUGUUAAUCUUCGUUUGUUUGGAAUUAGCCUGAAAAGUGCUAAAUACUGCUUUUUGGAUAGAAUCUUGAGUGGACUAGAACCAGUUUGUUAGGAAAAAAUAAAUCUGAGCCUACUUUACGUUUGAAGUAACUGAACGAUUACAUGAUUGCUUGGCUAUUUUAACAGUUGAUCUUGAUUUCCACACAAUGUGCAAAUUUAUUAUUACUAUAAACAAAAGGGGAAAAAACCCUUACAUCUAUUACAAAAUGCUUUAAGAGAUAGUAUUUAGUCAUGAUAUUUAUUAACACAGUUCAUAGUAAAGCUGAAAUAUGGCAAUAAUCUGGUUAGUUUGAUUUAUGUGGAUAGACAAAUUAUCUGGUUGUCAAAUACAUUACAAAACUCAUAUUUUAAUUUCUAUUUUAUAGACAUGAUUUUAAUGAUCUGUAUAUUUUACAUUCAUGUCACGUUCGUACCCGAAAUCUCUAAUUAAUUCAUGUUUUCCAUUACACCUUGGAGUAAUCAUUGCCCAGCUAUAGGGAACAGUAUGAAAUGAAGUGUGUUAUGCAUCAUUAAAUGUUUAUGUUAAAAUAGGGCAUUAUCUAGUUAGUUAAUUUAGACCAGGUAAAACUACACAAAAACGUUUCUCUCUGUUGCUCAGCAAUUCAGCCGUUUCUCUGCACAUCCUUCCUCAAGUUCUCCUGUCCCAUUCACAUUAAUUAUUCAAGGUCCCGAAACUUUUUCUUCCAGCAACGUUUGCUCUGAUACUCAUUCAAAGGUAUAAAUAAUUGACAACAGCUUAGAAUGUGAGUUUUCUCAGUAGCAUUUGGAUUUUAUUGAGGUUCAAAUUUUUAAACUACAAAAAUGGUGAAUGCAUCAGUAAAUGGGUGAUGGAAAUAUUUGGGGAGGAUGCACUGUUUGCAGUUGUCCUUGAAAUUGGAUCAAGUAGCCACUUGCCUACUCUGUCUGCUAGGAAGGCAGAUAAGAAUUCUGCACCUUCCUCUUCUACCCCUUAAAACUCUCCUUUGUUUCACAUAACCAGAAAAUGUUUAUUUUAAUUAUCUAGAUAUUCCAUUUCUAUUUUUCCUUUUUUACUGUAAGAAAUGGCAUGGUAAAAGAUUCAAUAAAACCAUAGUAUUUUAUGCUCAAUACUCUAAAUUAAGAAUUAAAGUCCUACUAUCUAGAUGCCAUUCCAAAUGAUUAAUUUUGUUUCACAUUGUUCAUAAGAAUAAUACAUUACUUUAGGUGAUGUUUUUUCCCACCAAAUUGCUUAGUUAAAAAAAAAACAUUAGUAAUUGCUAGUUCCUAUUAUCUAAGUAGAUAAAAUAUAAUUAGAAAAACAACUGGAUAGUUUCACUCUACGUUGUUCUCAGUGCAAUGUCCAGUUUGCAAAUGCUUCAUUCAUUUGUUAAUUUUAGAGGACAGCAUUUCAGUGCAAUAAUUGAAAAUAGCUCAUAGCCUGUUCUGUGAAGAAACAAAACAUUGGUUGUGUUGGUGUCAAGUAAGUUAAUUAUGCUUUAUCACCUUCAAAUGGAGCAUAUAAUUGAUUUAUGAAAUUCUGCUAUCGUGUUGAGACCAUUAUUAGUAAUCAAGAAUUCCAAUAGUUUCUUCUUAUUCCUCAUGUACAAAAUCAUCUGGGUAUUCCAUAUGUUUAAAAACAAUUCAAUUUGGAGCACUUGUACUAUCAUAAAUUGAUGAAUUAAAAACUAGAUACAAAGUGUGGAAACUACUGUAAAAGAUUACUGACUUCUAAAAAAUAUUGCAUUUAUUGUGGCAAUACAUUCUUAUUCAGCAAUAUGACUAUGUAAUUUUUCUGUAGUACUUUGUAGAAUUUUCAUUAAUUCCACUUAAAAUCAAUGGCUUAUAUACAGUUCUUUUUUGUGACAUGAAAACUAUAACAUUUUGGCUGAUCAAUGUUCUUUUGCUUGUUUACUUUUAGGUCUUUACAAUUACCUAAGGAAUUGCCUGAGGCAUUGAACAUAUUGCCGGAUAUUUAGCUGCAAACAAACAAAAAUGUUUUCAAACAAGGAUGUAGAUGAAAAAGCUAUACAAUGAUUUUAAUACCACCUCCACUCCAUCACCUCUACACCACCAGCACUGUCACACAUACUCUCAGAAUGUUUGGUAUCAUAUACAACUCUCCUAAAGCAAGAGAUAAUGUCAAAAAUUUAAAAAGAGAAUGCUACUCCUACAUUUCCAGGUAACAUAAAGAGUUGUAACCCUUGAACUUCCUGUAUAUAUUAAUAUUUGUUUUCAACACACUAAUUGCCUUGGACCUCUAUGAAUUUUAUGUAUUUAAUAAAUUAAUGCAAGUGUUCAUCUUAAUUUUAGAUUUACAUUUGUUAUCUUUGAACUAUAUCAAUUUCUCAUAAAACAAUUAAGAAACAGCAUAAACAAAAAGGGAAAUGAAAAUAUUUCAUUUCAUUAUUUAAGUGUUUGAUAAUGCUUGGUAUCAAGUAGACAUAAUCAGAAGAGUAUUUAAUAAAGCAAUGGAUUAGGAAGGGGCUGUUAGAGAACAUAGAUGGUAUUACUCUUUAAUAAUUAGGUACAAAAAUAAGGUCUUAAUAAAUUGGAAAUUUAUGUUUUCCAUUGAAUGUUCUUAAAAUGCCAAUAGAAUUAUAGUGAAAUGAUUUUCUUUGCUGAUUCCUAUGAUAGUAUGAUACAUACCUUAUUUUAGAUAUUUACAUUUUCAUUCUGUUAGAAUGAAAUACCUGUAUGUAUUCCAUGUGCUGACAUAUAACAAAAUCUGGGAUUUAAGAAAAUGUACUUCAAAAAUGUAAAAAUUGCAGAUAAUUGAAAUUUGAGGUAUUUAUAAUACAAAUAAGGACCAUUUAAAAUAUACCAACAGGCAUUAUUAAAAAUAAGUAUAUAGUUCUGUAAAGAUUGUGUGUGUUAUAUAUUGACUAUCAAACACUGGACAUUUGUGAACUAGCUUUUUGCUAUUCCUAAGUAUUAUCUUUCCAAAAACUUGCUAUGAAGGUCAUUUAUAUUUCCUUUCUAAAUGGAUUUUGAAUAAAACAUAAGAGCUGUAUUUAACAUUCUGCAUCUGAAUUCCAAGACUCUGAUUGUAUGCCUUCUUUUACAUUACAAAUCUAUCAAAUAGAGAUGAUUUUCCUUUUGAAUUCCAUAUUACCUAGCAAUAUUUAACACCUGAAAUGCUAGAAGUGGCACCCAUUGAUCUUUGCUCUGCAUUGAAAGUUGAUCAGUACAUGGCCUCAUGAAAGAAAAAUGUUCUUUCUAGGGUUUAAUAAAUGCUUCACAAUGAGUUUUUUUUUUUAAGUAGGCCUUAAUACCUAAUCACUUGCAUUCGGUGGCUAGAUUUGAGUGGAUAAGAACACCUACCAAAGUACAACUUCCAAUUUUUAUUUCAGAAGGAAACCAUCCUUGAGAGAUGAGAAAAUAACUUACUUUAAGCUUUAUUCAUUUUUGUAUUUGGCUGCCAUAAAAUAUCUUUUACUAAGUAGCUUUAGGGUUUUUUUUUUAAUCUAAUCCUGAUUAAAUUAAAAGAAAAACCUGGUAAGUUAAUUGUAAGCUUUCCCAUAAAAGAGAGAAGCACAAAAUGCCAUGGAAUAUAUCCAAGAAACAUAACAUAAACAUGAGACUUACAAUGCACAAUUUAAAAUUUCAUAUGUUGUCAAAUGAUAAAUGUCUGUUCCAGCUAUGAAUACUUUAACUUCAAAAAUCUUUCAUAGCCUUAAAAAAGAACUCUCACAGAAACAGAAGCUGGAAUGUUAUUUGUGAACUAGGCCUUGCACCUUGUCAAUAUUUUUAGUUCUUAAAUUUCUGGAAUGUUCUAAAGACAUAAAACAUCUACUUCAUUUUGAAAUUUUGAUUUUAACAUUUCACUAACAACACUGGGAAAGGAUCAUCUUAACUAAAGGUGUCAAGACUAACGUUUGAGCUUAGCCGUUGAACUUUCUCUUAGGGGAAACAGUUUAAUCCCCAAGUACUAUGAGAUAGGCGUUUUAAGGCAACUUUUUAAAAAGGAAAAUAAAUCUGCUUUUUGCCGUCUAGGAAAGAUACAUUUUUCCUUGUGGAAAUCUGCAGUCUGAAAAGACAGAUAUGAAAAGCAUGAACUGUUGAAAAUAACCUAAAUGUUCUUUGAAAAUUUAAAGGCCAGCUUAUCCUGCAAUGGUGAUAGAAUAGUCGGCUUACAACACGCAAAGCCGAGCCGCGGGUGGGCAGGCGCCGCCCGUGGCUCGCGGAGUGGAUGCACUCGAGGGCGCGGCCGCUGCGCUUGGGGAACUUUCAGGGCGCCAAGUACGGGUAGCGCUUCUGAUGGAUUCCCGGGUCUGGGAGGAUCCGAUUAUCCCGGGGCCGGGUGACACGCACAAAGCUGAGGUUAGAGUUGGCCAGGAAGGGAGGACCUGGUGAGCCGGUGGAACAAAAGCGGGAAGGCCUUUCCUUCUAGGAGCAAAACCAGCGACGCGUCCCGGACGCCCGGGGACCCCUGUGGGUCUCGGUUUCCUUCGCUGUGACCCUGACAUGUUUCCCUCCACCGGCCCGAGGAAACCGUCGCUUCCAGCCUCCAGGUACCGUCACCUCUGCGGGGCUGCGAGCGGAGGACCGGGACAGAGAAGGAGCCGGCGGUCCUGGCCAGCCGCGCGGCUCAAAACCCGACGGCGCGGGGACUCCGGGCCUGGGGCCUCCAUGGCUGUGGCCUCCUUAUCUCCCGGGCCGGCUGCUCCCUACGCUGCGGGGCUGAGGGCACUGGGGACCCAGGGGCUUCUCUGGCACUAGCGAGGACCUAACCUUGAGUGAAGAACGAUGUCAAGUGAAAGUGAAGAAUAACGGGGGUGGGCGCGAAGAGAAUGGUCUUGGGGCGCGCUUGCGCCUCUACCCGAGGACCGAGGUGGGGAUUCGACAGACGCCAGCGGUGGGGAUCCGGGGCGAGAAGCCCCGACUUUCUGAGUCGUGAGCCGCCUCCAGUCGCCCCAGGACGUAACCCCGAGGAGCUUUCAGACACUGGCCGCGCCUAAUAUCGCUGAGAACCGCGAAAACCGGAGUUCCGGCCGCCUCCCGGACUGGCGUCCCGAGGCCAGGGGACCCGCUUGGGGCUCCCGGCCGAGCCCCGACCUCGGACGUUUUUCCGGGAGCCGCGAGAGGCCUGGGGGCCUGGGCCAGGCGCCGCGGCGGGCAUCGAUCGCCGGCUCCCAGAGAGUGGCCCCGCGCAGGUGGAGGUGACCCCGUCACCUCCAGGAGCGCCCCCAAGCCCCGGUACCCGCAGCGUGCGCCCUCUCCUCCUCCCCGAAGGUGUUAUCUUAGGAGCCAAGCAUCUCCUUUGGUCCUGCGCUCCUUCGCCUAGCGCCUGGUGCCCCCCACCCGGCUGCAUCCGAGGCUUGCGCGGCCCGGUCCCAUCAGCCGAGCGUCGCCCGCCCAGGAGGAGGCUCGGGUUCUCCGCAGAAGCGAAUACUUUCUCUUUUUGUUUUAAGUUAGAACCUUGCUUUUGCAGUGAUUCGUUGCUGUGGCGUGAUUUUAAACAGGUGAGAAAUCGGAGUCUCAUUUUCCCAGGGGGGCUUCCAAUGAGGAUUUUAAGAGAAGCGUGCAAAGAAGACAGCAAUGUCCAUCUUUUUUUUUUCUUGUUUUCUUUUGAACAGAGGGAACCCCCACGCGCUGAGAUAGUUAUGUUUUUAAGGCUAAACUUUUUUAAAAUUAGUUUUUCUUUUACACUUAUGGCUGACUUUUGAUCCUUUUAAAGAAAGGAUGAAGUCAAAACAGAUUAAUGCUUUUGAAUACACAACGUCCCCACGUCCCCAAAUUGUGGUGCUGGGAUAGUUCCUCUAAGAUGCAUUCUGAUUUUGAAGUUCAAGGUCUCUAAGCGCUGUUAAGCGGAACCAUGAAAAAUACGUUGCUACAUUAAAGAUAAAACAGACGGUGAUACUGACUGCAGAAUCGUAGUAGAAACUUUUUUUUUUUUUUUGAGGCUGUGCAGGAUUUGCCUUGGUUUUAUUAGGGAACCUGCUAAUAGAAGCAAUUUCAAGUGACGGGCUUCCCUCAGUAAAAAGCUGGAAGCAAUGACAUCUUUUCUAUCUGAGUGACUCUCCUUAGUCGUGGUAAAUAAAUAAAUAAAUAAAUAAAUAGAUAGAUAGAUAGAUAAAUAAAUAAAUAAAUAAAAAUUAGUUUACAUGCAGUGUUUGAAAAGAAAAUGAUUUUGCUUCCCAAGUUUUUAUGUGUUUUCUUUUUUACCAACUAUAUUUCACUUUAUUUACAAUUGUCAGUUUAUUCUCACACCUUCUGGUUAGUUUUAUCUUCUCACCAUGGUCUGUUAGAACCCCAUCCUCGAGCAAAAAAACAAAAACAAAAACCACCCCCCCAAAACAAACAAACAAACAAACAAAACAGGUGUUCAUCCCUGUGAGAUGCUAAUGCCCCUGGAACUGUUUGAAAAGAGCAAAAUUUUGUAAGGAGAUUCUUUUCAAAAAGUGUUAGAGAAGUAUUCUUCAAAAACAUCUUAGAAUGUUUCCUUAAAAAAUUUCCUUUCUUGGUUUUCAUUAAUUGCCUUUGAUUAAAAUUAGGUUACAAACAUAUCUUAAUUUCAGACUGUUUCUUUAUAAAAGAAAGGAGAAAGUAAAUAGGUGUUGGCAAGGACUAAACCAAUGCAACUAGGCCCUGUUGAGAGCCUAAAUCUGUAAACUGGUACCCUUAAAAAACAUCAAUCAACUUGAGGUUCGUACAGGUAGUUCUUUGACUCAAACAGUUGAUUUUUAAAAGUCUUAUAAAAUAGGUUAAAAUGUGUUUUUAGUCCAGGUUCCUACUUCUUUGUUAUGCAUUUCUCCUCGUAGAUAAAUAAAUGAAUCUAACUUGAUGAGUAGGUAGAUUUUUCUCCAGAAGAACUUUCUAAAAAUGGGCAAAGUUAGGGAAGUGAUUAAUACCCUUCAGUUUAAUUGGAAUUAUUCAGUGCUUAUACCAAGUUAAUCCUAUUAAGAUGCUAUUUCCUGCUCAGGGGGAUAAAUUAAGCACAACUUAGAUUAUUUUAGGUGGACAACUGGUAUAUAGUCUAAGCAAUGGGGGCUGGAAAAAAGUAUCUCUUCUCCAAAAAAUAUAGAUUAUGUACCAGUAAUGUUCAAAGUACUUUGAGGAAGUGUAUUGAUGGGAUGAAUAUAAAUCAUAGUGACUGUUGUUAAGGGGUUUACGGAUUAUAAAGAGCAAUUGAGCUUCCUUUAUUUUCUCUUAUUUAGAAAACAAACAUUCAUAAGAAAAAAAUAAAAUUAGAUCCCUUCUUUUGCCCACAUACAAAUUCAGUUUCAGAUCAAUUAAAAAGUUAAAUAAGAAAAAUAGAAUUAAAAAAAUAUUGGAAGGCUGGGCGCAGUGGCUCACGCCUGUAAUCCCAGCACUUUGGGAGGCCAAGGCGGGCAGAUCACGAGGUCAGGAGAUUGAGACCAUCUUGGCCAACAUGGGGAAACCCUAUCUCUAGUAAAAAUACAAAAAUUAGCUGGUUGUGGUGGCACAUGCCUGUAAUCCCAGCUACUCGGGAGGCUGAGGCAGGAGAAUCGCUUGAACCUGGGAGGCAGCGAUUGCAGUGAGCCGAGAUCGCGCCACUGCACUCUAGCCUGGCAGCAGAGUUAUCUCUGUAACUCUCCAUCUCAAAAAAAAACAAAAAAAAUUGAAAGGAAAUAUAGAAUUUGUAGUAUGAAAGGAUUUCUUAAACAAAACAUUAAAAUACACAAUCCAUUAAGGAAAUGAUCAAUUGGAUGACAGUCAUGCUCCAAAUAAUGAUAUGUUAGUCAAUACAUGAUAAUAGUCCCAUAAGGUUAUAAUAUUGUAUAUUUACUGUACCUUUUCUAUGUGUAGAUGUGUCUAAUUAUACAAAUACCAUUGUGUUACAAUUGCCUACAGUAUUCAAUACAGUCACAUGCUGUACAGGUUUGCAGCCUAGGAGCAAUAGGCUUGUACCAUAUACAAACCAUCUAGGUUUGUGUAAUUACACUCUAUGAUGUUAGCAUGACAAAACUGCCUAUGGACCUAUUUCUCAGAAUAUGUCCCUGUAGUUGAGUGCCAUGUGACUGUAUAUAAAAAUUUUUAAAAAUACUUUUUACAUGACAAAAGAUAUCAUAAAAUGUUACAAGAUAAACUGAGAAGAUAUUUUCAAGGCAUGUACUUGGUGAAGGAUUCAUAUUCAAAAUGUAUAAAUAACUUAUAUAGAAAGAAUUUACUAAUUUAUGUAUAAUGAAUUUCAUAAAUAAAAGAUGUGGGCCAGGAUAUAUACAUAUGAAGUGAAAGUAUAGUACUAUCAAUAGGAUGAAUACAUAUCAACUUCAAAAAAUGUAAUUUCCUUUGGGAUAGAAAGAAAGAAGGAAGGAGGGGGAAUAGGAAGAGGGCAACAACUUCCUGCCCAGGGGGCAACAACUCUUUUUUUUUUUUUUUUUGAGACAGAGUCUUGCUUUUGUCCCCCAGGCUUGAGUACAAUGACUCGAUCUCGGCUCACUGCAACCUCCGCCUCUCGGGUUCAAAUGAUUCUCCUGCCUCUGCCUCCCAAGUAGCCAGUUAAGGCACCUGCCACCAUGCCCGUCUAAUUUUUGUGUUUUUUAGUAGAGACGGAGUUUCACCAUUUUGGCCAGGCUGGUCUCGAACUCCUGACCUCAGUUGAUCCGCCCACCUCAGCCUCCCAAAGUGCUGGGAUUACAGGCAUGAGCCACUGCGCCCAGCCCACAGCAAUUCUUUAUAAAAAGAUCAGAGGCAACUAUGGGAAGACAUUAACACUUUUUGUUCUUUGUAGAUUGUUAAAAGCUUGUUAUAAUUUAUUUAAAAAUCUCUAACAUCAAUUCCUAGUCUAAAGAAUGAACAAAUGACACAUUUCUUUUCCUUAGUCAAUAAUAAUCUUGUAAGAUGGUGUUCACGUGCUUUUCUUUGAGGGCAAAGAAAACACCAUUCCCCAGUGUUUUUCCUGGGCAGUGUUUGAAUAUUAUAUGAUACUCACAGCAGAGAUUUUCCUAGUUUGGCUUCUGUUGUAAGCUUGUUUUCUGAGUAGAUUUAAAUGAGAAGAACAGAAACAUAUUUGAAACUAUGACUAUGUAUAAGAGCAUUUAUUCUCCUAUAAUGAAAUCGUGGAAAAUGUUUUUAAAAAGUGAGCAAACAAAAACCUCCACACCAUUAUAGAAACACGGUUAAAAAACUAUUGAAUAAUCUCAAGCCUAGUGUGUAAUAAUUAUUAAGUGUGUCUAAUUUGUUGUGCUAAGUGUCAGGAAUUGGUAUUGUGGAAGGAUAUGUGAGAUCUCAUUUUCUCCUUUUAUAUGGCAGGAGUUUAUACAGUAUUUACAUCUGUCAUUGAUACUUUUUAUGAACAGAAGUUUUGUUUACUUAUAACUUCCACAGGGAUUAUUCAUAUGGAGCACUGGAAAGAUGUAACAUUUCAUUUGCUUUGAUACCUUGUGUUUAUUUUAGGUCGAAAAGCAUCAUGAAGCCAAGUGGUUAUUGUUUUGCUUAUUCAGUGUGAACUGAGUGAGCCAGGUUUGUAUACCAAGUGAUUCUCGUGGUGGACAAUACCAAUAUGAUUAUGCCAAAUGCAUUGCUUCUGAGGCAUCACUCUUUGGGCACAUAUAGACCCUGCUGAUUUCUGCCAAAGCACUCUUCUUAAAGUUCCAAAACAUUACCCCAAAACCUCUAUAGCCCCCUAUUGCCAACAAAAUUAAAGCCUUUCUCUUCAUUGGCAUUAGAAGCCCCUGUAACCCAUUGCUUUUCCAUUUCCAGCCUCUUUCCAAAAUUACCAAACAAACUCUGUAUCCUGCAGCCACCAAACUGUACUAGUUGUAAUAUAUUCACUAAGAACA